rnacentral:rRNA from 1 species
GAGACUCUGUGCGCGUGCAUAUCAAUAAGCGGAGGAAAAGAAACUAACAAGGAUUCCCCUAGUAACGGCGAGUGAAGCGGGAAGAGCUCAAAUUUGAAAUCUUAAAGGGUUUCCCUUUACGAAUUGUAGUUUAAAGAAGUGUUUUCUGUUGGAGUUUCGGUAAAAGUUCUUUGGAAUAGGACAUCAUAGAGGGUGAGAAUCCCGUAUUUGACCGUUACUUUCCAGCUGUGUGAUACACUUUCAAAGAGUCGGAUUGUUUGGGAAUGCAGUCCAAAAUGAGGGGUAAAUUUCAUCUAAAGCUAAAUAUUGGCGAGAGACCGAUAGCGAACAAGUACCGUGAGGGAAAGAUGAAAAGAACUUUGAAAAGAGAGUUAAACAGUACGUGAAAUUGUCAAAAGGGAAGCGUUUGACACCAGUGUUGUUUAGUUGAAAAUCAAUUCAAUAAUUUUUGAUUUUGAGUAGUAUUGACUUCAUCAGCUUGCUGCUUUCUUUUCGAAAUUAUUGAAUGCACUUUUCAGUUAACAAGUCAACAUCAAUUUCUUUUGUUGUAAAAGGGUAAGAGGAAGGUGGCUUACGCUUCGGCGUCAAGUGUUUAUAGCCUUUUAUCUCUGCAAUCGGAGAGAUUGAGGUACAUGCAGCGUAGACUCCUCCGGGGUUAGAUACACUUGUGCUAAGCUAUAGCCUUGUAUAGACAACUUGUUGACUAUGCUCAGUCAUGUAGCUUACUCGCUGAUGCUAUUUUACCUACGCUUAGGAUGUUGACAGCAGUAUAGACUGU